ACCGUGAUAGUCUAGUGGUGAGGACAUUGCGUUGUGGCCGCAAAGACCCAGGUUCGAAUCCUGGCCACGGCA